rnacentral:rRNA from 1 species
ACCUGCCCAUUGAAUUUUAAAAGGCCGGGGUAUUUUGACUGUGCAAAGGUAGCAUAAUAAUUAGCUUUUUAAUUGAAAGCUUGUAUGAACGGUUGGACAAAGAAAUAACUGUCUUUAAUGUAAUAAUUGAACUUUACAUUUAAGUGAAAAGGCUUAAAUUAAUUUAAGGGACGAUAAGACCCUAUAAAUCUUUACAUUUUAUUUGUUUUUUUUUAUUAGAUAUAAUUAAAUUAAUUGAAAUACAAAAUAAUAUGUUAUAUUGGGGUGAUAGAGAUAUAACAAUGAAACUGUCUUUAAUAAUAAAACAAAAAUAAUUGACUUUUUAUGAAGGAUCCUUUUUAAAGAUUAAAAGUUCAAGUUACUUUAGGGAUAACAGCGUAAUUUUUUUUGAGAGUUCACAUCGAAAAAAAAGUUUGCGACCUCGAUGUUGAAUUAAAAAUUUCCUUAUGGUGGAGAAAUUAUAAAGGAAAGUCUGUUCGACUUUU